rnacentral:misc_RNA from 1 species
CAACAUCAUCCCACCGGGUCUUCCCGGCGGGGUUGGAACUGGGCGCUGCCUUUGCUGGCUCGCCUCAAAUCCAUCGGUGGUCUACGACCCUGCUGCGGCGUAAUACGUUUCGUCGUCUGACAGGUUAGGAAGCCUCCUUGAAACCGCCUCUCACGAGGAUUGUAC